AUUGCUUAAUCAAGCUCAAUUAUAAAAGCAGAGUUAUUUUGUGUCAGAAAGUGUGACAGUAAUAAUGGACCUCACCUUUGUUCCAGUCUUUAGGAUUGUGCUACUCUGUGUCGCACUGGCUACAGUUAUGAGCCAUGCUCAUGAUCACAGCGAGGCAGGCCACAGUCACGAAUCUAUACCAUUUUCCGAACCUCGUGGUGCUGCUGCAAAUUUGUGGAACAUGCAAGGCAUGAUUAUCAUGUUUGUGGCAGGAACUGGAUUACUGUCCCUGAUAAAUACCAUUCUGUCAUAGAAAUUGACAAACUAAUAAUAGAUGAAGCACAACCUGUAAUAUAAAGAUCAAGACCAGCAUUGUAAUUGUGUUCGACUUUUGAAGUGCGUCGUCUAUCACGGAAUUAAAAAUUAUUUACUUAAAAGGGUUUUCGUAAUCUAAUCAUUAUUUCAUUUUCUUCAAAAGAAAAAUUACAGUGUAUUGUUAUAUUUAUGUAUUCAAGUCUCCCUUAAUAAAUCAAUGGAUAUUAUUGUAUUAUGAAAGGGACG